rnacentral:rRNA from 1 species
AUUGAACGCUGGCGGCAGGCCUAACACAUGCAAGUCGAGCGGAGCGGCGGACGGGGGAGUAAUGCCUAGGAAUCUGCCUGGGAGUGGGGGAUAACGUUAGGAAACGGGCGCUAAUACCGAAUACUAGCAGAUGAGCCUAGGUCGGAUUAGUUAGUGGGUGGGGUAAAGGCCUACCAAGGCGACGAUCCGUAACUGGUCUGAGAGGAUGAUCAGUCACACUGGAACUGAGACACGGUCCAGACUCCUACGGGAGGCAGCAGUGGGGAAUAUUGGACAAUGGGCGAAAGCCUGAUCCAGCCAUGCCGCGUGUGUGAAGAAGGUCUUCGGAUUGUAAAGCACUUUAAGUUGGGAGGCGUUACCAACAGAAUAAGCACCGGCUAACUCCGUGCCAGCAGCCGCGGUAAUAC